rnacentral:rRNA from 1 species
UACAGAGGUCCCAAGCGUUUGUUCGGAUUUACUGGGCGUAAAGGGUGCGUAGGUGGUGAGGUAAGUCUGAUGUGAAAUCUCCGAGCUCAACUCGGAAAUGGCAUUGGAAACUACCUUGCUAGAGGGUUGGAGGGGGGACUGGAAUACUUGGUGUAGCAGUGAAAUGCGUAGAUAUCAAGUGGAACACCAGUGGCGAAGGCGAGUCCCUGGACAACUCCUGACACUGAGGCACGAAAGCUAGGGGAGCAAACAGG